AAUUUUAGCAAAUAGUUUUUUGUUUCAAGGACAGGUCAGAAUGAAACCUUGGUUACUUGUGAUCCUCUUCCUAGUCUCCGGAACACUUUGUAUUCAAGGCACCUCCCUGGAUGAGAAGUGUCAGGAUGACAGCGAAUGUGCAGUUCCAAACACAGUGUGCAAGCCUGAUCACUGUUUGGUAUCCACUUGUCAGUGUAACAUGGGAUACAGGCCGAACGCUCAAACAAUGCAAUGUGACAAAGUAGUUUGCAGUAGUACAACAUUUAAUCCACCCUCGAUUUCGACAAGCAAAUCAGCGUCAUCCACCACGUCAACACAGUCUACGUUGUUAUCGGCUUCCACAGUUCACCCCAACACUACAGCCGGUGGAACAACAACGACAACAGUACCUCCCGUACUGCUUGGUCAAAAAUGUACAAAUGUUACAAAAUGCGCUGAUCUUCGAUCUGUAUGUCCACCACAUCGAUGUGACGGGAUGGUUUGUCAGUGUGAUGUAGGAUACAUAACCAAUGCUCAGCUGAACAUUUG